ACACCUUUUCCAGUAUCUAUUAGAAAAAUCAGAGUAACAGAGAAGAUUAGCAUGGCCCCUGUGCAAGGAUGACACUCAAAUUCGUGAAGUGUUCCAUAUUUAA